UGCACAAUGGGCGAAAGCCUGAUGCAGCUAUACCGCGUGUAUGAAGAAGGCCUUAGGGUUGUAAAGUACUUUCGUUGGGGAGGAAAAAUAAAUAGAUAAUACCUGUUUAUCGUGACGUUACCCAAAAAAGAAGCACCGGCUAACUCCGUGCCAGCAGCCGCGGUAAUACGGAGGGUGCAAGCGUUAAUCAGAAUUACUGGGCGUAAAGAGCUCGUAGGCGGUUUUUUAAGUCAGAUGUGAAAUCCCUGGGCUUAACCUAGGAACUGUAUUUGAAACUAAAAGACUAGAGUAUCGUAGAGGGAGGUAGAAUUCUAGGUGUAGCGGUGAAAUGCGUAGAUAUCUGGAGGAAUACCUGUGGCGAAAGCGGCCUCCUAAAUGAAUACUGACGCUGAGGUGCGAAAGCAUGGGGAGCAAACAGGAUUAGAUACCCUGGUAGUCCAUGCCGUAAACGAUGUCGACUUGGAGGUUGUUUCCUUGAGAAGUGACUUCCGAAGCUAACGCGUUAAGUCGACCGCCUGGGGAGUACGGUCGCAAGGCUAAAACUCAAAUGAAUUGACGGGGGCCCGCACAAGCGGUGGAGCAUGUGGUUUAAUUCGAUGCAACGCGAAAAACCUUACCUGGUCUUGACAUCCACAGAAUUUUUCAGAGAUGAAAAAGUGCCUUAGGGAACUGUGAGACAGGUGCUGCAUGGCUGUCGUCAGCUCGUGUUGUGAAAUGUUGGGUUAAGUCCCGCAACGAGCGCAACCCUUAUCCUCUGUUGCCAUUGGUUCGGCCAGGAACUCAGAGGAGACUGCCGGUUAUAAACCGGAGGAAGGCGGGGACGACGUCAAGUCAUCAUGGCCCUUACGACCAGGGCUACACACGUGCUACAAUGGUGUAUACAAAGAGAAGCAACUCUGCAAAGACAAGCAAACCUCAUAAAGUACAUCGUA
rnacentral:rRNA from 2 species